rnacentral:lncRNA from 1 species
GUUAAAAAUGCAUUUAUUGUUAUACAUAUUCGUAUGUAAAUGUGCGCCUGUGUAUGCGCUUGUUGGUAUUUGGGUGUAUCCAUGAAAAUUUACUUAUAAAAAGGGAAAAAUAAAAGAGGAUUGCGGCUGCAGUUGCAAAUCGCCGUCUCCGUCGCGUCGUCACUCUGCCUUUCGUGCAUAAUGACAUUGACAUGCCGCAGGCGGCUGGCACACUUUUAGACGAAACUACUUUAAAGUCUUUUAAAUUGCAUGUCAUUAGUAGAGAGUGCGCUACUACUUGGAGCCGCCGAGAGUGACAGAGUCCUUCUUGAGCCCAUCUUUGGCGAAAGGUGAGCAACAGACUUGACUCGUCUUCUUCUGGCUGUCUGUGGCCUUUGAGGUUUUUUCGCCCGUCUGUGUUUUAAUGAGUACCGCCAAAUGACAUUAAGCGCAUUUGAAUAAUUGAUAAUUCUUUGAAAGAAUUUUGGCUGAUUUUGGCUGGAAAGGAUUGCGGUCAAGGUCUUUGAGUGUACCGUAUUGGUGGGAAUUGGGCUUGGGACUUGGGUGACCUGUGAAUAAUAUGCAGUAUAUAUCCAACAGCUUUUAAUCAAUCUGUAACGCUGUGUAACAAAUGCUUCAACACGGUGUAACCAACUCGAUUUGUGGUAUUUGCUGCUAUUUGUUUUCGCUUUAAGAAUGGACAUACAAAACUCCUUCAAUAUGCUGCGGUUACUUUGGUAAGUCCCAAAAUGUAAGACCUCGGUGACUACAUUUAUUCGAUGACAAUUCUCAUUAAAGUGUAGUGUUGGUGUUUGGCCAAACUCUAAGCAAGGAGCAGAGGCUUACCUUUGCUGGUCAGUGUCCAAAGUUUAUGCCGCUACCCCAUGAGGUUUCAAAAGCGACAGUGGUAAGUUAAAUAUAAUUUAACACAUACAAAAAAAACUAAUAACUGUAAUUAUUUCCCGCAAAGUUCACUGGUAGCUGGUAUCUGUACGCAGUCCACCCAAACUAUCUGCAGGAAAAGUGUGUAAAACGCACUUUUCAGGGCCACCGCAUUUGGAGGCAGUUUGCCGAAACAGAUGACGAUCAUUUCAUAGUGCAAUAUUUUUGCUAUCAGGAUAGAGAUCGGUACAACAAACUACAACACAUGAGUAAGUACCAUUCGACGUGCCUCGUCAAAUAUAUAAGUUUACAAAUUAUUCCAGGAUCAAUCAGCAUUUUCGUCAAGGAACAAGUGCCCACAGCAAAAACCAUAGCAUCAAUUACGAACGCACUGAUGCGGCAUUUUAAGUUCCCCUUAAGACUACUCAACUACACCGAUAAUUCCUUUUGUACUGAGUUCGAGUAUAAAGAUGCACAGUAUAGAGUUUGAAGCUUCGUGGACUGUACAAAAUAAACCUGAGAAUACCUCUAAUUUCUGAAGCAUUGUUCAUAAAACUGGAACUCUCGCAGCGCUGGAAAACCCAAGGGAAAGUUCAAUUUACUUCUCAUUGAACAAUAGCCAAUGGUUGGAG